GGAAGAAGAUGGCGGAAGGCGGAGCGGCGGAUCUGGACACCCAGCGGUCUGACAUCGCGACGCUGCUCAAAACCUCGCUCCGGAAAGGGGACACCUGGUACCUAGUCGAUAGUCGCUGGUUCAAACAGUGGAAAAAAUAUGUUGGCUUUGACAGUUGGGACAAAUACCAGAUGGGAGAUCAAAAUGUGUAUCCUGGACCCAUUGAUAACUCUGGACUUCUCAAAGAUGGUGAUGCCCAGUCACUUAAGGAACAUCUUAUUGAUGAAUUGGAUUACAUACUGUUGCCAACUGAAGGUUGGAAUAAACUUGUCAGCUGGUACACAUUGAUGGAAGGUCAAGAGCCAAUAGCACGAAAGGUACAUUUUAAUAAUAACUGACUAUAAAUAUUAUUUUUCUUGAUUAGUUCACAUUUUAUUAUUAAUUCAAUAAAUUGUGAAGUUUUAUUACUUAUCUUAGAGAAAAAGCCAGCAAAAUUACCGUACACUGUGUUACAAUAAUGGCAAGUAACAUGUUAAGAGGGUCUACUUAUGCUAGCCAUUAUUGUAAGUAUGUAUUAUUGAUUAAUCCUCUAUAUAGAGAGAAAACUCUGUAAGGUAAGUAGUAGGAAAUGAGGAUAAAAAGUUAGGAUCUAGUUAUUUUAGAAAGUCAUAUCAGGAUACAGACUUUGGCAACCUGAUCCUGUUUUCUGUGCUGCACUGUUUUUGAUAAAACAAUUCGAAAACAAUGAAGAAACUAAAAGUUGAAGCAAUGUUUUUUGGAACAUAAAGAUUUUUUAAACUUGAAAAUGUAGAUUUUUUUCCAUAUCCUUUAACAUUUUAAAAUUGUAGUCUAGAAACAUUAAGAAUAACCAAUUUCCUUUUUUUAGGGAACUAAAAAGCAAUAAGUAAGGGUGUUGCUAUAGUAGAAUACCAAAUAUGCAAGGUAAAUGAGUGAACCUUACACAUAUAUUUGAUCAUUUAUUGUGGGAGGAGUGGGAGGCUGAGAAGGGACCAAAAUCUCUUGGCAUAAUUUUGUAUCUGG
rnacentral:sRNA from 1 species